rnacentral:rRNA from 1 species
AACGAACGCUGGCGGCAUGCCUAACACAUGCAAGUCGAACGAGACCUUCGAGUCUAGCGGCGCACGGGUGCGUAACGCGUGGGAACCUGCCCUUAGGUUCGGAAUAACUCCCCGAAAGGGGUGCUAAUACCGGAUAAUGUCUUCGGACCAAAGAUUUAUCGCCUUUGGAUGGGCCCGCGUUGGAUUAGCUAGUUGGUAGGGUAAAAGCCUACCAAGGCGACGAUCCAUAGCUGGUCUGAGAGGAUGAUCAGCCACACUGGGACUGAGACACGGCCCAGACUCCUACGGGAGGCAGCAGUGGGGAAUAUUGGACAAUGGGCGAAAGCCUGAUCCAGCAAUGCCGCGUGAGUGAUGAAGGCCUUAGGGUUGUAAAGCUCUUUUACCCGGGAUGAUAAUGACAGUACCGGGAGAAUAAGCUCCGGCUAACUCCGUG